GUGGGGAAUAUUGGACAAUGGGCGAAAGCCUGAUCCAGCAAUGCCGCGUGAGUGAUGAAGGCCUUAGGGUUGUAAAGCUCUUUUACCAGGGAUGAUAAUGACAGUACCUGGAGAAUAAGCUCCGGCUAACUCCGUGCCAGCAGCCGCGGUAAUACGGAGGGAGCUAGCGUUGUUCGGAAUUACUGGGCGUAAAGCGCACGUAGGCGGCUACUCAAGUCAGAGGUGAAAGCCCGGGGCUCAACCCCGGAACUGCCUUUGAAACUAGGUAGCUAGAAUCUUGGAGAGGUCAGUGGAAUUCCGAGUGUAGAGGUGAAAUUCGUAGAUAUUCGGAAGAACACCAGUGGCGAAGGCGACUGACUGGACAAGUAUUGACGCUGAGGUGCGAAAGCGUGGGGAGCAAACAGGAUUAGAUACCCGUGUAGUCC
rnacentral:rRNA from 1 species